AACAUAAUUACUUCAUUGAUUUCUUACAAUCAAAUACUGCCAACUAGCAUUACUCCCAAUCUUGCAUCAUUGAAAACAAAGGGCAUUUCCUCCUUUGUAUUUUCAAAUGAUACAUUAUACAAUAAACAAAGGUAGAAUUUAAAAUGCACCCUGAUUAAUUAUGUAAACUGGUAAUUUGUUUAAAAAAGCAUAAUAAUUUGGUUCCUUUCUUCAUAAAAUGGAAAUUUAAAUAUUUCUCCUGAUAGUCUUGAGGUUAUCAUUAGCAGUAGUGCAAAGUGUGGCACAUACAGUUUCAUCGAGAAGGGUGUGUAUCUUACACACCUUAUUUAAACAAACAAAAUGUGCAUUAACAAAAUGAACACAGUCAAUGCAUGAUAGAAAGCUUGUUUCAAAAAGAAGGCAGCUCCUCGGACCACCAUAUUAUUUAGGUUUUGCAUUAUCGUUUAUGGCAUUAUAGAUUAGUUAUGCAUAACGUACUUUUAAACAUAUUAACCCUGAAGAUAAGAAAAGUAAUUUUUGCUUGAAAAAAAUUAUUCCAGGUAGCCAUUUGGUUUGUAUCAGGAGAAAGUGAACCCUCUAUGAGUCUAGUGUCUGCCAAGGCAGAAUCAUUAGCGCAAGUCAGUGAAUCAGAUACGAGACACAUUUCACAAUGACUGUUUACCAAGCCCUGGCAAUGCCUCGUCUCUCACACUCCGCCAGAUGACGAAGCAUUUCUGGGAUGACGCUUUUAUGUGGUUUUUCCCUUUUCAUUUUUUUUUUGUUGGAUUAACUAUUACUGUAUUAUUUCCUCUUUUCCCCUCCUCUUCUGUGGCCUUCCAUUUCAAUUAUUCAUAAAUCGUUUCAGAAUAUCCUCAGAGAGCUCCAUAAGGGGAAGUUCUGGAGAUGGAAAAUCCAAGGGAGGAAGAUUGGGGAUUGGAAUGUCCUUGGCUUUCCAGGUUCAUGGCUACCUGGUGCUGUCAGUUCUGGGGGAUUUCUGAGUUUUGCAGUGUAAAUAAUCUUUCUUCUGCUUCUGGACUGUCUCCAUGGCUAUCUUGGGAUUCACCUUUUUCAAAGCUAAGUUGCUAUUUGUUUAUUUGCUUUCUUUCUAGCUUAUAAAUUUGCAUUACUGUUGUCUUUUCUUGCAUGACACUUGUAUUUGUGGUUUAAUGCCUUAACAAUCCAUUUUGUUAUUUUAGGGAGAUGUCAGGAGGAAACAGAAGUAAUUGUGUAUGCUGGUUCUACUGUACAGUUUUGCGUACUUGGAAUAUAUAAUUUUUGUUGCAACCCAUUAAGAUAUGGCAUUAUUUAAAACACUGAUCUAAGCAUGGAAGUUACAACUUUAGAAUUUUUUGUAAAGUUUCAAAAAACAGUGUAUUUCUAAAGGGGAUAAAAGUAAAUACUGAAUCCUUUUAGUAACAAAUAAUCUACAUUUGUUUUUAUGUGCUUCACACAUCUCUUAAUAACCAUGAAGGGAUUACAGUAUUCUCAGUAGAUCAAUUCCAUACUUCUUAUUAAUCAUUCUAACUCUUAUAAUGCUGGGAGUGCCAAAAUAUCACCUCACUGCAGCUGCAUAUUCAUGGUCCAAAACAUUCUUUCCAGUAUGACUUGAUUAUUCUCAUCAACUUUGCAACAACCUUCAUAUGUGAGGUGAGAGAGUAAAAUAAUCAGUCUUGCCACCAACAAGAGUGGAUUUGGAGUUUUAAUGUGCAUUCAGAUUAGAAACAGCACACUAGUUGUGAGGAAAGUUAGUUGGAGUGAGUUGCUCAUUCUAUAGCGGAAAUAUUGGGAAAAACGAGAAAGCAGCAAGCUCCUGAAACAAGAGUGCUGCUCAUUUUCAAGAGUUUAGUUUAAAUAUUUCUUAAUUUUAUAAAAUAAAUGCUGAGUUAAAGAAGUAGACA
rnacentral:lncRNA from 13 species